UACGUAGGGGGCAAGCGUUGUCCGGAAUCAUUGGGCGUAAAGAGCGUGUAGGCGGCCCGAUAAGUCCGCUGUGAAAGUCCAGGGCUCAACCCUGGAAUGCCAGUGGAAACUGUCGGGCUGGAGUCCGGAAGAGGCGAGUGGAAUUCCUGGUGUAGCGGUGAAAUGCGCAGAUAUCAGGAGGAACACCAGUGGCGAAGGCGGC
rnacentral:rRNA from 1 species